ACGGGUGAGUACGCGUGGGUAUCUACUCGAAUGGGGAUACAUUGCGAAAGCGAUGCUAAUACCGGAUAAUAUCUUCAAACUUCGGUUUCUAAGAUCAAAGGUGGCCCUCUACAUGUAAGCUACUGUUGGGAGAUGAGCCCGCGUACCAUUAGCUUGUGGGUAGGGUAAUGGCCUACCAAGGCUACGAUGGUUAGCUGGUCUGAGAGGAUGAUCAGCCACACUGGAACUGACACACGGUCCAGACUCUUACGGGAGGCAGCAGUGAGGAAUUUUGCGCAAUGGGGGAAACCCUGACGCAGCAACGCCCGCGUGAGUGAUGAAGGCUUUUAGGGUCGUAAAGCUUCUGUCAAGUGGGAAGACCCUAUUUUGUGUUAAUACCACAAAAUACUGACGGUACCACUGAAGGAAGCACCGGCUAACUCCGUGCCAGCAGCCGCGGUAAUACGGGGGGUGCAAGCGUUAUUCGGAAUCAUUGGGCGUAAAGAGCGCGUAGGCGGCCUGGUAAGUCAGAUGUGAAAGUCCGGGGCUCAACCCCGGAAGGGCAUUUGAAACUAUCAGGCUUGAGUAUGGGAGAGGGAAGUGGAAUUCCUGGUGUAGAGGUGAAAUUCGUAGAUAUCAGGAGGAACACCGGUGGCGAAGGCGACUUCCUGGACCAAUACUGACGCUGAGGCGCGAAGGCGUGGGGAGCAAACAGGAUUAGAUACCCUGGUAGUCCACGCAGUAAACGUUGAUCACUAGGUGUAGCGGGUAUUGACCCCUGCUGUGCCGCAGUUAACGCAUUAAGUGAUCCGCCUGGGGAGUACGACCGCAAGGUUAAAACUCAAAUGAAUUGACGG
rnacentral:rRNA from 1 species